rnacentral:rRNA from 1 species
GUGCCAGCAGCCGCGGUAAUACGGAGGGGGCGAGCGUUGUCCGAAUUUAUUGGGCGUAAAGCGCGUGUAGGCGGAUUGACAAGCCUUUGGUGAAAGGCUGGGGCUCAACCCCAGGAGUGCCGAAGGGACUGUCAGUCUGGAGGCAGGCAGAGGAGAGUGGAAUUCCUGGUGUAGCGGUGGAAUGCGUAGAGAUCAGGAAGAACACCCAUGGCGAAGGCAGCUCUCUGGGCCUGUACUGACGCUGAGACGCGAAAGCGUGGGGAGCGAACGGGAUUAGAUACCCCGGUAGUCC